GAAUUCACUAGUGAUUCAGGCCUAACACAUGCAAGUCGAACGGGAUCUUCGGAUCUAGUGGCGGACGGGUGAGUAACGCGUGGGAACGUGCCCUUUGGUUCGGAAUAGCCCUGGGAAACUGGGAGUAAUACCGGAUACGGUCGAGAGACGAAAGAUUUAUCGCCGAAGGAUCGGCCCGCGUUGGAUUAGGUAGUUGGUGGGGUAAUGGCCUACCAAGCCGACGAUCCAUAGCUGGUUUGAGAGGAUGAUCAGCCACACUGGGACUGAGACACGGCCCAGACUCCUACGGGAGGCAGCAGUGGGGAAUCUUAGACAAUGGGGGAAACCCUGAUCUAGCCAUGCCGCGUGAGCGAUGAAGGCCUUAGGGUUGUAAAGCUCUUUCAGUGGGGAAGAUAAUGACGGACCCACAGAAGAGCCC
rnacentral:rRNA from 1 species